AUGGAUAUAAAUCCGCAAAUACUAUGUUGGAAUGUGCGUGGGCUGAAUUGUCCUGCGAAGAGGGCGGCGGUUAGGGAGUUUGUGCAGGCGGCCAAGGUGAACUUGGUGUGCCUACAGGAAACAAAACUUGAUGUACUGGAUCAAUUUGUGGUUCUUCAAUGUUUAGGCCCGUCCUUUGACGGCUUCGAUUACUUACCGGCGUGCGAGACUCGUGGCUGGAUUUUGAUUGCGUGGGAUAGAUCGGUGAUGGAUGUGGAUGCCCUAGUGCACGACACCAACUCCCUUAGUGACCUGGUUCAUAAUAAGGAUGGCACUAACUGGUGGAUUACUGCGGUAUAUGGGCCGCAAGGAGAUGAGCUCAAAACCGCGUUUCUUGAGGAACUCCGAGCCAGGAGGCUAGUCUGUCAGGGGCCAUGGAUGGUCCUUGGCGACUUUAACAUGAUCCUCCAUGCUUCCGAGAAAAACAAUGUCAAUCUUAAUAGGAGAAUGAUGCAGCGGUUCAGAGGUUUUGUAGAUUCGCACGAGCUCAAAGAGCUAUACAUGCACGGAAGGAUUUUUACUUGA
rnacentral:rRNA from 1 species